GACGAACGCUGGCGGCGUGCUUAACACAUGCAAGUCGAGCGGUAAGGCCCUUUCGGGGGUACACGAGCGGCGAACGGGUGAGUAACACGUGGGUGACCUGCCCUUAGCUCUGGGAUAAGCCUGGGAAACUGGGUCUAAUACCGGAUAUGACUCCAUGACGCAUGUUGUGGGGUGGAAAGCCUUGUGCGGCUAGGGAUGGGCCCGCGGCCUAUCAGCUUGUUGGUGGGGUGANGGCCUACCAAGGCGACGACGGGUAGCCGGCCUGAGAGGGCGACCGGCCACACUGGGACUGAGACACGGCCCAGACUCCUACGGGAGGCAGCAGUGGGGAAUCUUGCGCAGUGGGCGAAAGCCUGACGCAGCGACGCCGCAUGAGGGAUGACGGCCUGG
rnacentral:rRNA from 1 species